UUCCAGGCUAAAGAGCUGGAAGGAACAGAGGAAUCCUGAGGAGCCUUGGGGGAGCAGUAGGACUCAGGGCUGCUGCAGAGACCUGUUCUCUUUGCUCAUGUGAAAAGGCACCACGAAAUGACUGCUCUGCUCUUGACACGCUGUGGAUUCACAGAGUUCCUGACGCUUGCCCGGACAGGCUUCCUCCCCACUGUAUUUACAGCUGAAGUUGGGCAAGCACUGGAGAACAAUACGGGAAGCAAAGUUCAGGGUUGUGCCACAGUCUGGAGAAACUUCAGAGACCAAAGACCUUUGGUGUCCCAGAGCACCUGGUGUGAGCACAGCUUUGAAAAGACACAAGCAGCCAGAGAUGAGUAGUAGUUUCUGAGAAGAGGAACUUCUUCCUGAGAAAGAAGAGAGGCCCUUUUGAAGGGGAAAUGAAUGCUGAAGCAAGGCUCAAAAACACGGUCACACGCUGUUGCUGCCAUCAGGGUGGGGUGCAGGAGGAAACUUUCACAGCGUAGCUUUCACAACUGCAGCAUCGUUAAAUGCUUAAUGAUAAUAAGCACUGUGGUGUCAGCAUGAGCAUGUCUUUCUCCAGCAUUAUUUUAUCCUUGAGGAGCUGAAAGGAUGGCCCACACAUGUUCACUAACUGCUGGGAUGUUAUAUCCAUCCUUAAGACAUAGUGACUAUAGGAGAAAGCAGAGAGAACUGACGCGCACAAAAGGUGUUUCUUGGCCAGCCUCAAAGGUCAAAGGAGCUGCUGCUUUAUUGAAGGGGAAGGUUCCCUCACAUUCCUUUUCGUACUGAUGAAAAGUCACUUAGGGAAAAUCUUUUAUCUGGGCUGCUUAGGUCAAGGAACUGACAUCAGAAGUUGAUAUUUUGCUCCUAUUUCUUGCACAUCAUCUGCUCUUUUAUGUGAUUAUGCAAUAAACUCAGUGCAGGUUGGAGUUCAUGUAGAAGAUAUGUGUGUGUCUCCUGGGCAAUGCAAAAAAACAGCAAUCAUUUACAUUGAGCAAAUGCCCUGCUAAGCAGUUUCCAUAGAGACAGCACGUUAAAUGAACUCUUCCUCGUUUUUAUUUCUCUUCUAGAAUUUAAAUCAACAUCU